rnacentral:rRNA from 1 species
AGCAGUCGCCGCGGUAAUACGGAGGGGGCUAGCGUUGUUCGGAAUUACUGGGCGUAAAGCGCACGUAGGCGGCUUUGUAAGUUAGAGGUGAAAGCCUGGGGCUCAACUCCAGAAUUGCCUUUAAGACUGCAUCGCUUGAACGUCGGAGAGGUGAGUGGAAUUCCGAGUGUAGAGGUGAAAUUCGUAGAUAUUCGGAAGAACACCAGUGGCGAAGGCGGCUCACUGGACGACUGUUGACGCUGAGGUGCGAAAGCGUGGGGAGCAAACAGGAUUAGAUACCCCCGUAGUCCCUGUCUCUUAUAA